CACACUUUCCAUGAUUUGGGGACAAGGCUAGUCAGCCAGCCUACCCUACUUGCUGUUCUCCAAACCAAUUAGAGACCCUGUCUCAUUAAGCGAAGUGGAUGUGGCUGGGAAGAUGGCUCAGCAGUUACAACUGUUACUGUGCUUGUAGAGAACCUGAGUUUGGUUCCCAGCACCAACACUGGGCAGCUCACAUCCACCUGUGACUCCAGCUCCACCUGACACCCUCUUCUGACUGUAGGCAACUGCACUCACCACCACCCCCAGACACACAAGUAUACAUAUAAUUAGGAAAAUAGUAAGUAUAUCUUUAAAAACAAAAAGUGGAUGAGGCUUAGAGAAUGACACCUGGGGUUUUCCUCCAGCCUCCAUGCACACACACAUGUACACACAUACACAUGCACAUACAUGCUUCUUGACACCUAGCCUGGGACCUCCUGCUGUUUGUCAUCUCAGACAACUCAAGAGCUUGAAUAACCCAAAACCCAGCGAGGCGAGCCAGCACCCACAGUAAUAGCACUGGCUACUAGGGCUGGAGGAAGACAUCGUGAUACGUCACUGUUCAGUGCCUCUCCUGUUUGCAUUGUCAUUGCCAUGCAUGAUGCAUACGGACACUUUAUCCAGUCCGUAGCAGGUUCGGUUCAGUUCUGUGGAGGUAGAGGGCGGGUUUGAUCUCUCUCACCCAUGAAAACUCCGGUUGAAAAAGUAAUGUUUGACAGAGGCCCCUGUGCAAACCAUCCCCCAAACCAGCCUGUCCGUCCCCUGCCUGUGGUUGAACUUUUAGGAAUGGACGACUUGUUGUAUGGCUUCUCGAACGAGAUGAAGCAGGCUUACCGUGAACAACUCUUUGCCGUCAGCCACGACCAGCUGACCACUGUGAACAACGAGUGUGGCCGGCGUGGCUUCCUGUGGUACCUGGACAUUGGGAAGAGCACACAUGGCUUGGCUGUACUUGGACCAGAGAACGCGAAAAUUGCCAAGGACCCAUCAUGGAUAAUAAGAUAACAUAUUUCUGGAUACACUGGAGCACACUUGUACCCGUGUAGGCUCCUAAAACCUAAGUCUCUGCACCAAAUUGAAUGUGAAUGACACACAUGUUACUGCUUUUACCAAAAGUCAUUGUUAGGUCAUAUUUAGAAUUUGACUAAAGGUUAUUUAUUGACUAGUAAGUUGGUCAAAGACUCUUCUGUUUUAAGGAAAUAUACAGUGACCGUGAAAAGAUAUAUUAUAAUAAUCAUGCAUUAAAUGUCAAAUUUUGAAACUUUUAGAGUCUAGAACAUAUAUUUUCAAAAUAAAAGUUGACUCUGACCCACCUGUGCUUUAGUCAUUAUUUUAAAUGUUUUGCUACUUUGAAAAUAGUGUGUUCAAAGCUGGGCAUGAUGGCGCACGCCUUUAAUCCCAGCACUCGGGAGGCAGAGGCAGACGGACCUCUGUGAGUUCAAGGCCAGCCUGGUCUACAUAGUGAGUUCCAGGCCCCCUGGGGCUACAGGGAGACCCUG
rnacentral:lncRNA from 1 species